AUAAAAAAAUGUUUACAAAUAUCUUAACUUGCAACGUGUGACAGGCUACACAUCAGUAUUGUCCAUCUUUAAUCGAGAAAUGCAUUCAGAACAUUUUAUGAAGUAUUGGCAGGCUGUACCUGACGUCUUACUUUCUUGCAACGAAAUCAAAAGAACUACAAACCAAUUAAAUUAAUUUUUAUAGCAGCAUUUUUUUUGAAGAAUUUUUUUCUUUGAAGAAUUUUCUUUGAAGAAUUUUAUUUACUAAUCAGAUUACUUGUAUUUCAGAAUUUCUUUAAAUUAUUUUUGGAGAUUUUUGGAUUUAAAUUUUGGUGUUAUACAAAAUUUUAAGUUUAAAAAAUUAUUUUACAUAUAGAUUCUUAGAUUUUUAAUAAUUAAUUUUUAUUCAGAAGUACAAUUAUAAUUGGAGUGUCCA
rnacentral:lncRNA from 1 species